rnacentral:misc_RNA from 1 species
AAGUCGUAACAAGGUCUCCGUAGGUGAACCUGCGGAGGGAUCAUUACCAGUGACCCCCGGCUCCGGCCGGGGAUGAUCAUAACCCUUUGCUGUCCGACUCUGUUGCCUCCGGGGCGACCCUGCCUUCGGGCGGGGGCCCCGGGUGGACACAUUCAAACUCUUGCGUAACUUUGCAGUCUGAGUAAAUUUAAUUAAUAAAUUAAAACUUUCAACAACGGAUCUCUUGGUUCUG